AUUGAACGCUGGCGGCAGGCCUAACACAUGCAAGUCGAGCGAGCGGCGGACGGGUGAGUAAUGUCUGGGGAUCUGCCUGAUGGAGGGGGAUAACUACUGGAAACGGUAGCUAAUACCGCAUACCAUCAGAUGAACCCAUAUGGGAUUAGCUGGUAGGUGGGGUAACGGCUUACCUAGGCGACGAUCCCUAGCUGGUCUGAGAGGAUGAUCAGCCACACUGGAACUGAGACACGGUCCAGACUCCUACGGGAGGCAGCAGUGGGGAAUAUUGGACAAUGGGCGCAAGCCUGAUCCAGCCAUGCCGCGUGUGUGAAGAAGGCCUUCGGGUUGUAAAGCACUUUAAGUGGGGAGGCGUUACCCGCAGAAGAAGCACCGGCUAACUCCGUGCCAGCAGCCGCGGUAAUAC
rnacentral:rRNA from 1 species